GGGCACCGCAGUGGAGCUGGAAUGUUAGAUGGGGGCCCCUGCGGUGGGCAGAAUAACGGCCACUGCAAAGAUGCCAAAUCUUAUCCCCAGAGCUUCCGCAGAGAUCCUGCAGAUGUGAUUCGAGUCUUCCAGCAACACCACCUCACUCUGCUUUGCACAAUCACUCCACCUCCCCACAUGUUGCGGAGAUUCUCCUGGGGAUUCACACUCUUCCUACUUGCAGCUGUGACACGGGAAACAUCCUCCACCAGGUCUUCUCUCACAGUGUGGCCUCUGCGCACAGGUUAUCCACCUGUAGACCUGGACGGGACCCUCGAGGCUCCCUACUCUGACCAUCUGGUUUUAUAGUUGAGGAACCAGAAGCCGAGGCAGGGUCUCGACGGUGAAGAAGCAGGCUGUUUCCAUCUUCAGGAUACAAGCCAUCUGCGCAUAGGAAGAGGGUCCAGAGGCUCAUCUGGAAUCCCUCCUCACUCACUGGACGGAGGACCUGACCCCGUUCCCAUCAUUGGUUCUGAAUCCAUCAGCCCAGCAAGACAGGUGUCUCCAGCAAGUUCUGUAAAAUACAACCAUAGCCGGGCCUGGAGUCAGCCCCCAAUAAAGGGUUCACCAUG
rnacentral:lncRNA from 1 species